CCGUCAUUGCCGUCAUGGCGUAGGCCACGGAGUCCACGCUGGCGUGAACGAAAACGUUGGGCGUGAAUGGAGCUCUGCGUCGCGCACAAGUGCACUCCAGACAUGCCCCAGCGCCGUACGAAGUCAUGACUGUGUCGCCCAAGAAUUAGUCACACCAUUUCAGGCCCUCCAAAAUGUAACCACACCGGUCUCUCUUCAGGGAUUUAGAAGAUGCACUAUCGACGUAUUUUCACUUGAACGACGUAUUUUUACUUGCCUCAUGUAAAAUGUAACUAAGGAUAAUAAUUGGCUCCUGUUUCUAAGGGACACUGACUUGCAUCAGCUCUCCUGCGAAGCAUGAUUGAUGGCUGCUGGCCGGCGGCAUCAGCACUCGAAGUAUUCCCAGGUGGUCUCCCUCCCUAAGUACUGAAAGCUUCCAGUGCUCCUUGGCUUUUUUGUUCAGAUCUGAUGGCCUCUGUGGGGGAACUGGCAACUUCGUGUCCUUGCCUGCAGAUUGUCAAGCACUUAUAAGCAAAACUUAAAAGCCAUAUAUACUCUAUUGGGAAUGCCUUCCAGGAACCAUUAAAUCUGUUUUCGGACCUUGUUAA